GAAUUCUGUGUUGGAAUAUAGUGAUAUGGGGAGAGUUGGCUCCUGGCCCGUAUCUCCACUCACUGUAUCAAUCCUGUGAUUGCCCCCUUUUAUCAGACUUCUGACUCUGUUGUGCACCUCAAGGGCCUCAUAUAUCUAAACUGUGUUCACAGAUCCUCAACCCUAAGCACUUCCUGGACCACCUCUCAGGCCUCGUGCACCAUGCUGACCACACAGCCUGUCUUCAAGACCCCGGAGAGAGGCCAUGAAGGCUUGACAUCAUUCGCUCGAGGGAUACCAGGAGCCACUAGCUGAAGCAUGAUGUAGACCUUUGCUACGCACAGCACCAGGGACAUAAUUAGAAAUGCAGCAUCUCAGAUCUGCUCCAGGAUGCCUAAAUUAGAAUCUGCACGUUGGCAAGAUCCUCAGGUGUUUCUUAAACACAUUUGGGUUAGCAAAACACAAACAAAAAGGAAGGGGUGUGGUGGGUAGAGGGUAGGAAGGGUAGCUGCUUGGUUCCAAGGCCUCCUCAGGCUAUGGACAGAGGCAUGGCCGAAAGAAGGCUAGGAUGGCGCUCGCUAAAAAGCAUGCUUGCCAAUGUCUGAAGGUCAAUAAAGGCCGGGCAGACCGCAAUACGGAUUCGGUAGGCCUAGCAUAAGAGACACAUGCCGCACUUCACGAAGGGGAUGCCGAGGGCGUCAGCCCUGCCUAAAGGGGGCAGCUGGUGAUCAUCUUCAGUUCACUGUGGCCCUGAGGAUGGAUAGCAGCCAUGAGAUGAAGGACCCCUGAGAAAUGAAAAGCAAACAAAGAACAACAAAAGCAACUUCGUUGGCUCCAGGACUGGGUUUGGCCCAUGGACAAAACUUAAGUUAUUUAUCCUAGUCCUGUGGCACAUAUGUAUAAAUUGCCUUGGGCUCUGCUUUCUACAACUGAAAUGCCACCGCAUGCUUCAACCAUUUACAUCUCAUCUCCUGAACCAGCUCAAGCUCUCGGAGAGUAGAGGCUGUGACUUCUACAUCUUCCUCCACAUUGCCUACCAAAUUCUACACUAA
rnacentral:lncRNA from 1 species